CCAUGCCGCGUGAGUGAUGAAGGCCUUAGGGUUGUAAAGCUCUUUCACCGAUGAAGAUAAUGACGGUAGUCGGAGAAGAAGCCCCGGCUAACUUCGUGCCAGCAGCCGCGGUAAUACGAAGGGGGCUAGCGUUGUUCGGAAUUACUGGGCGUAAAGCGCACGUAGGCGGAUAUUUAAGUCAGGGGUGAAAUCCCGCAGCUCAACUGCGGAACUGCCUUUGAUACUGGGUAUCUUGAGUAUGGAAGAGGUAAGUGGAAUUCCGAGUGUAGAGGUGAAAUUCGUAGAUAUUCGGAGGAACACCCNUGGCCAANGCGGCUUACUGGUCCAUUACUGACGCUGA
rnacentral:rRNA from 1 species